AGACUUUGAUCAUGGCUCAGAACGAACGCUGGCGGCAUGCCUAACACAUGCAAGUCGAACGGGGUCGGAACUUCGGUUCCGGCUUACGUGGCGCACGGGUGAGUAACACGUGGGAAUCUGCCCAUCUAUGGGGAAUAACUGCGGGAAACUGCAGCUAAUACCGCAUACGCCCUUCGGGGGAAAGGCUUCGGCCGUAGAUGGAUGAGCCCGCGUCCGAUUAGCUAGUUGGUGGGGUAACGGCCUACCAAGGCGACGAUCGGUAGCUGGUCUGAGAGGAUGAUCAGCCACACUGGGACUGAGACACCGGCCCAAACUCCUACGGGAGGCAGCAGUGGGGGAAUAUUGGACAAUGGGCGGAAAGCCCUGAUCCCAGCAAAUGCCCACGUGAGUU
rnacentral:rRNA from 1 species